GAACAGCGCGGACUUACAAUUUUGCGUAGAAGUCACAAAACUCUUUGUAGAGUUUAAUGUCACUGUGCCUACGCUGCAGUUUCGACACUGGUUUCUCGCCUUCAUUUCCCGCCGAGUUGUAGGCAUUGUGAGAGACCCUGUGAGCGAUCUCUUCAUCCUCUGGUAUCGCGUAGGGGUGACCUCUAUGCUGGAAGUCCAUGUUUCUCUAGCUGCUAUCACGGCUAUAUAUAUUCUGUGCUUAUAUCGUGAGGGAGCUGGAGGCAAAGGCAGCAGAACAAUGUGCCGGGCUUCCCCUUGUUCCCAAACGAAGUGACUGACUUUCAGCAGCUCUGUGUCAUUGAGCCAGAGCUACCCAGUGCCCUGCCAGAGCUUCAAGUUAAAAGCUGGGCUGCGGAGGAGCACAUUCCAGCACCGGGCUGUCAUGCACACCCAGAUGCUGGAAAGGGGCUUUGCUGCUGGCUGCUGAUGGAGAAAUCCUCUUGGGCCCGGAGAGCUGUUUUGUGAGCAACCUAUGUGAGCCAACAUGAACCUCAGCAAACUUGUCCACAGCUCCUGUCUGCUGAGGGGAUGGAGGUGGAUUCCAACACCGCUUUGUCAUGACCUAACCAGCACGAAGAGGAGGCUUCUGUCAUUAGGCUAAGACCUUUUGUAUCUUCACCAGUAGCUCAGCGUAACCCUAAGGUGCCAUGGACCAGGGAGUGAGGAGUCAUCAGGCCAGGAGGGGCUGCUGACAUUCCCCAGAGCUGCAUCAAGACCUACUUGCCUUGGUAGGGAGAGCAAGGAGAAGGAAAAACUGCUUUCUCAGGAGAACUUUCCUGGCUGCCCACUGGUGCCAGUGGACAGGGACUCUUACAGAGAAGGCUGGGAGGCUGCGAGCUCUGCCGAGUGCCUUGCUCCAUUCCCCAAAUAGAAGUGCUCAGCAGUCACUGCUCCAAACAAGGUGCUUGGCAAAGGCAGCUGCUGCUUGGCAGUCUGCCCGGUGCCCCGAAAUAACGCUGCCGGCUGAGAGCAAACCUGCUGCAUCACCACUGCUUUCAGGAAGCCAAGCACCCCGUCGGGAUGGAUAAGCAAACAGAACGCAGCCCUCCCUUUCCCACAGAGCUAUAUCACGACCAGAGCACGCAGAAAAAGCAGGAAAACUACAAGGAAACAUCACAAAAAUCAUGAAGCAAGUCCCUUUCGUUGGCAAAAAAGCUCCUGUCAAUGUUAUGAUGCUUCAUCUUGUUCAUAUAUAAGGAUGAAUCUCAAAGCAACAUACAGUCUCAUGGCACAGCUGAGCAGCAUCAUCUAAAACCACUGCUCACAGGACAAUAUGUAUGAAAUCAUUACUUCAGAAUGCUGUCAAGAGCUACCUAAACCCAGAACUUUCUACAAAGAUGGCAAAUACACAGAUGAAAAAUGACCAGUGCCUGCACCUCCUAUGACAAAAUGAGCAAAGAAAAAGUGAAUGACGUGCACUGUAACACUAGAUAACGCACACCAAAAUUCAGAGCAUCACUUGCAUUUGGGAAGCACCCUGAGAUUCCUGGGUGCGAGGUGAGAGUGGAGGAGCUAGGAGAUGGAAAAGCAUCAGAGAAUGUCACAGAGUGUCUGGGGAGCCCUGGAGCCACCGCUGGCUGCAAGCUGGGAUUACCACCCAGGGAAGCCCCAUAAAAGGCCCGCUCUCUUCUCUGUCUCCUGCACUUGGGCACUGUUAGAGCUGCUUCUGCAUCUGGAGAGCAUCAUGGAACAGCAUAUGGGUCCCUCGAGGACACCCGUCAGCCUGGCAUGUGGAACAGCUGAGAGACACCGGAAGAGAAAAACAGGAGAGAAACCCAGUACUACACCCUUUCCAAGCUUGUUCUCCCCAGCACCUGCAGACUGGCUGUUUAAUAGAUUGUGACGUCUACAUAUUAGCUUUCACAAUUUAGCCUCUCCUCUGCAGAGUAUUUCCAUGCGUAAAUUCAGUCCAGUGUGACGGACUUCAUUCAAAGGAGAACUAAAUUACAAUGAAGAGCAAUAAGCAAUCACGUUAUAUUUUCUGGAAAGAAUGUUUGAUAAGAUGCUAUCAAAACAGAUGAAAUCAAAUGCAAAAAAAAAAAACCCCAAAACUACAAUUUAUACUUCCCCAGAUAAUGCUCUCAGAGCAACAAAGAUCCUAGUUGCUAUCAUCACUGAAGCUCAACAAAUUUGCGGAAAUUGCUGACUGUUACAAUGAAGCAAACGUAGGAGCAGCAGUAGUUUCUGUCACGCAGGCAUUUACCUCCAGUCAUUUGGAGUCACAGGAGGUUAUAGCCAGGGUGAGCAAGUCAAGCAAAACUGCGUUGGGGUUAUUAUGCAAUCUGAAAGACAAGGGGUGAGCAAGAAGGCAAGAGAAAUAGGGUGUGUUUGGUGUGCGUUAUUUUAACCCCUGAAGUAAUGAAAUGAAAAGCACAAAUGAAAAGCACGGCCUCUAGUCAUUUGGAUAUCUCACAAGCUCUAAGUGUGGAAGUAUGAAAAUGGAACCGUGAAACACGUUUUUGCUGGCUGGAAGUUACUAUAAUUAAUAGCAAUAAAAACUCAAUGCUACCAUUUACAUGGACAAGUACUCUUCUCAAUUAGAGCAUCUAGCGGAUGAGCCAAAGCGUUUUUUUAACCAGGAUUUCCAAAGCAUCUGCUUCAGAUUGAUAUUUUCAGGUCCCAAUUGUAUUACUCCAGCAGUUUCUAACCACCACAGUGAUGAACUGCAUUUUUUUUUGCGACUGAACAUUUAUUUUCAAGCUUUUGAUGAUUUAACAAAUUGGAUUUUUUUUCCUUUUUUCUUUCUUUCUUUUUUUUUUUUUUAACAACAUACUGAAAUAUUACUGCUUUACUCACUAAUACCGGCACUACGAGGAAGCUGAACUGAAUGAGAGAAUCAUUAAGGUUGGAAAGGACCUCUAACAUCAUCCAGUCCAACCAGCAGCCCACCCCCACCAUGCUCACUGA